rnacentral:misc_RNA from 2 species
AACGCAUCUUGCGCUCCUUGGUAUUCCGAGGAGCAUGCCUGUUUGAGUGUCAUUAUAUUCUCAACUCUCCAAUACUUUGUUGUAAAGGAGAGCUUGGAUUGUGGAGGUUUGCUGGCUCCUUACUUGGGGUCAGCUCCUCUGAAAUGCAUUAGCGGAAUCGUCUGCGAUCUGCCACAAGUGUGAUAACUUAUCUACACUGGCGAGGGGAUUGCUUUCUGAUGUUCAGCUUCUAAUCGUCUAAGGACAAUUUCUUGAAUGCUUGACCUCAAAUCAGGUAGGACUACCCGCUGAACUUAA